CAAGAAGUGAUGAUGAGGACAUGAUCAAUUUUUUACGAUUUUCAGAGAGGGAAGCCUUUGGCUGUGAGCUUCCUAAUACGGAAAAAUGGAUUACCACCUCUGAACUGCAGCAGUGAACGAGCAUCUAGUAAUUGCUUGCCGGCAAAAACCGUUAUUUAGACUUGAGAAAUUGGUGAAGUGUGUUACUUUACGAAUUGAAACAAGGGUGGAACCACGAAUACAACACUCGUCCCUUUU
rfam:Bacillus cereus ATCC 14579, complete genome.